CCGGGGCCGCACGCGAGCCACAAUGAAGGGAUCAGCGUGUGUUUUCCCGGUCUUGGGGGAUCGGGUAACCCGUUGAACCCCCUUCGUGCUGGGGAUAGAACCUUGUAAUUAGUUCUUGAACGAGGAAUUCCCAGUAAGCACGAGUCAUCAACUCGUGUUGAUUGCGUCCCUGCCCUUUGCACACACCGCCCGUCGCUACUACCGAUUGAAUGAUUAAGUGAGGUCUUCGGACUGGCGCCGGAUUGGCAAUCUUUUGUCGAGACGUAAGUGCCGGAAAGAUGCCCAAACUUGACUAUUUAGAGAUAGUAAAAGUCGUAACAAGGUUACC
rnacentral:rRNA from 1 species